AUGCAAAAUUUAGGUUUCUCUCGCCGGUGGGUUGACUGGAUAAUGUCCUUUGUCACGUUCGUGAGAUAUUCUGUCAAAUUAAAUGGAACCCUCUUGGACCCAUUUGCACCGUCGCGUGGUCUUCAACAAGGGGACCAUCUUUCUCCAUUUUUAUUUCUCCUUGUGGCUGAUGGUCUAUCUGCAAUUCUCAAGCACAGUGUUCUUGUUGGUGAUAUCACUCCUAUCAAGGUGUGUAGAAGAGCUCCGGGUAUUUCACAUCUUUUGUUUGCGGAUGAUACUAUGUUUUUCCUUGAAGCCUAA
rnacentral:rRNA from 1 species